rnacentral:rRNA from 1 species
GACGUAGGGCGCGAGCGUUGUCCGGAUUUAUUGGGCGUAAAGAGCGCGUAGGCGGUUUGUCGCGUCGAAUGUGAAAACUCGGGGCUCAACCCCGCGCUUGCAUUCGAUACGGGCAGGCUCGAGUUCGGUAGGGGAGACUGGAAUUCCUGGUGUAGCGGUGAAAUGCGCAGAUAUCAGGAGGAACACCGGUGGCGAAGGCGGGUCUCUGGGCCGAUACUGACGCUGAGGAGCGAAAGCGUGGGGAGCGAUCCGG